ensembl:lncRNA
AGACAUGCUGAAAAGCAGCUGACAUUUUCACACUCUGCUACUAGAUCCCUUGAAAGAGCCUGAAGCAAUACCCUGAAGUAUUCACUGUAUCCAAGGACCAUAUUUCAGUUUGUUCAUUUGUUUUUCAAGAGCCUGAGCGUUCGAGAGAAGUAAAAUGCCAUGUAUGGUAGCAGUAUGUUCACUCACUCUUGUCAUACGUGCUUUCAAGACUCAUUUGACUUUGCUCAUUGACUCUGAACUGUGGUUACAACUACCACACAUAAUCACCAGGGAUCUACACUGCAGCAUCCCCAUGCAAGUCGAUUCUUACUGCUCUGCUGCAUCUUAGCUUUCAGGAUGAAAACUUAUUCAGCAUUUCUUCUGGCCUCAUAUUUGAAGGAAUGCUCUUAUGCAUACAAUUGUUUUUAGAGAAAAUGAAGAUUAAGAUUUUUACUAGGAAAAUACUAAACCUGCAUGUCAGGCUUCUGUGUGGGUACAUUUUAUGUCUCGCUUCCUUGUAGAGUACGUGUCAUCUGAUGACUUUAACUAUUCCCUUUCUACAUCAGUCUCUGACACUGCUAACACUAUGUUAUUUAGUUUACUCCUGUAAAUGAAACACUGAGCCCUUUUGAAGUGAAUGGAAAAAAAAAAAAAAAAAAAAGCCUUCCUAUUUUUAAUGUGAGUUAUUGUCUUUCAGUAAGGGUACUAAUUGGAUCUUUGUGCUACCAGCAAGUGCUGUCCUUUGAUUUGAAAAGUGAGCUUCAAAACGCAGAUGCUCUUGCUAUUAUAUUCUGCUGAAGGAUCUGAACAUUUUACUCUGAGAACAGCAUUAAAUUAAAAAACAAAAAACGAACAAACAAAAAAAACACAACUAGUAAUAUAUCCCAUUGGUCUGCUCUGAAAUCAUUUGUACAGUACAAAUUAAUAUUUGUACAGUGAAGCACUUUUGCAUUCUUGGAUGAAAGACGAUAUGUUUAAAAGCAAAGUAUUAAAAUUCAUCUCUGCAAUGAUUUUCUAAAGAAAAAACUGAGCAAUUCAGUUUAAUUAGUCAACUAAUAAAAAAAAUUAAAAAUGCUUAAUAAUCUGUAAUUUACAUUUCUCGGUGGAAACCAAUAUUAUGCCUAGAUUACAGUCAGGAUAAUAUCAUUAGUAGAAUGACUGACUCAAAUUAAUCAUGACUGAAGAUCUGAUUACUAUAAGGGAUCAUACUACUAUCACAGUCUUUAUGUACUUUCUCCUUUUAUCUUCUUAUUACAGCACCAAUUUUUUCCCUCUGUGCAGAAAGUGUACAUGAUUUUCACUUGCCAGUGUCUUAAAACUGCUGCUUUGAUAUUAUAAUGCACAUCUUGUGAAUGACGGGCCUCAAAAUAAUUCUAUUCUUACAAAGAAGAAACUGAAGACAAGGACAACUGUUUUUAAUAAUAUUAUUUACAAGGUGCUAAUGUGCAAUUUGUUGCCUGUCAAAACAGUGGGAAUUAUGUUCUCAUUCUGUGUUAAAUAUAAUUAGCUAAUACUUUCUAGAGGACAUGCAGACAGAAUAGGUAUCUCAUAUUUUAUAGCUGUGUUACUGAUUUCAUUAUUUGUCUUCAUUUUUUUUUCUCUCUCUCAGAACACAAGAUUUUAAGAUAUGUCUCCGAGAUGCUCAAAUGAAAUCUAC